CAGAAAUCCUGACAUCGUCCCGGAGCCGUACUGGAGGUGGAUGGGCCGGCCCGAGAUCCGGAAGGUGGAGGACCGCAGAGGGUUGAAGACGUUGUGAUUAGCUGCAGACACAGGAGAGACGUCCAAAGAGACAGAGACGAAUAAGAGAGACAUAGACAUGUGGAAAUGGAGAGAGAGCAGAGAAGAGACCCAGAAACAAAUGCAGGAGAAAUGCUGUUCCUAGACAGAACCAUGCCUGCAGUUGCACAGGUUGUGCACUGAGCAAUUCCAAGGAGCAUCUUUUCACAUAGCUCAUAUGACUGGCACCCCUGGAGCGGUACAACCCUGCAGGCCUGCCCCAAGACACCUGGGGCCCCAAAGUGCACAUGGUAAGCUACUGAUCAAUAAAGGGAGACUUGAACUUUAA